CUCGCAGUAUAUUUUUGUGUUUUGUUGUGUCUGAAACGCAAAUCACAGGAUUAUACUGUGAG
rnacentral:pre_miRNA from 16 species